AGGGUUUGAUUAUGGCUCAGGAUGAACGCUGGCGGCGUGCUUAACACAUGCAAGUCGAACGAACCUUCGGGUUAGUGGCGGACGGGUGAGUAACGCGUGAGAAUCUGCCCUCAGGAGGGGGAUAACGGUUGGAAACGACCGCUAAUACCCCAUAUGCCUAUUGGUGAAAUGAAUUUCGCCUGAGGAUGAGCUCGCGUCUGAUUAGCUAGUUGGUGAGGUAAUGGCUCACCAAGGCUUCGAUCAGUAGCUGGUCUGAGAGGAUGAUCAGCCACACUGGGACUGAGACACGGCCCAGACUCCUACGGGAGGCAGCAGUGGGGAAUUUUCCGCAAUGGGCGAAAGCCUGACGGAGCAACGCCGCGUGAGGGAUGAAGGCCUCUGGGCUGUAAACCUCUUUUCUCAAGGAAGAAGAUAUGACGGUACUUGAGGAAUAAGCCACGGCUAAUUCCGUGCCAGCCGCCGCGGUAAUAC
rnacentral:rRNA from 1 species